rnacentral:pre_miRNA from 1 species
UCUUAGGGAUGAGCAAAAAACGUGGUUUCUUGAAAUGGAAUCUAUUCUUGCUGGAGAUGUUGUGAA